rnacentral:ncRNA from 1 species
UUUUAGCCUGUGAGCGGGAAGAGUAGGCGGUACAUUCCGUUCAAGAGAGUCCGGGCCGGCUGGAAUCCGGGCACGGUAGCCGCUGAAAAUCACCCGGGAGGUGCCGGCUGAAACCAGAUGGGAUUAAGCCCGGCCGGUCCGCCGCCGUUACCCGGCGUUAAAGUGGCCGUUUUGCGCGGCACGAUUUUUUACGCGGAUCGUGUCCGGGCCGGCAGGUAGGGUGGUACCGCGGGAUAUGCUCCCGUCCCUUUA